UGAAUACGAGAUGCUACGGCAUUGAAGCAGUCUAUGUCACACUUCCAAGAAAAGCUCGCAAUGUCAUAAACAAAUAAUGCCUGUACCAUAACCGACACAGGUGGGUAGGUAGAGUAUACUAAGGGGCGCGAGAUAACUCUCUCUAAGGAACUCGGCAAAAUGACUCCGUAACUUCGGGAGAAGGAGUGCCUUAUUUAUAAGGUUGCAAUAACAAGAUCCAAGCAACUGUUUACUAAAAACACAGGUCUCCGCUAAGUCGUAAGACGAUGUAUGGGGGCUGACGCCUGCCCAGUGCCAGAAGGUUAAAGAAGUUGGUUAGCUUAGCGAAGCUGAUGACUGAAGCCCUGGUGAACGGCGGCCGUAACGAUAACGGUCCUAAGGUAGCGAAAUUCCUCGCCGGGUAAGUUCCGACCCGCACGAAAGGCGUAAUGAUUUGGAUACUGUCUCGGAGAGGGGCUCGGUGAAAUAGACUUGUCUGUGAAGAUGCGGACUACCUGCACCAGGACAGAAAGACCCUAUGAAGCUUUACUGUAACUUGAGAUUGAAAUUGGACUUUAUUUGCGCAGUAUAGGUGGGAGACGUUGAGAAUAUUCUUGCGGGAAUAUUGGAGUCAUCAGUGAGAUACCACUCUUGUAAUGUUAGAUUUCUAACUUUGGAUCAUUAUCUGGUCAAAGGACAGUUUCAGGCGGGCAGUUUGACUGGGGCGGUCGCCUCCCAAACGGUAACGGAGGCGCACAAAGGUUUCCUCUGAACGUGUAGAAAUCGUAUCUAGAGUGUAAAGGCAUAAGGAAGCUUGACUGUGAGACCUACAAGUCGAGCAGGGACGAAAGUCGGUCUUAGUGAUCUGACGGUGCUGAGUGGAAAGGCCGUCACUCAACGGAUAAAAGUUUCUCUAAGGAUAACAGGCUGAUCUCCCCCAAGAGUUCACAUCGACGGGGAGGUUUGGCACCUCGAUGUCGGCUCAUCGCAUCCUGGGGCGGUAGUACGUCCCAAGGGUUGGGCUGUUCGCCCAUGAAAGCGGUACGCGAGCUGGGUUCAGAACGUCGUGAGACAGUUCGGUCCAUAUCCGGUGUAGGCGUUAGAAUAUUGAGAGGAGCCUUCUUUAGUACGAGAGGACCGAGAAGGACAUACCUCUGGUGUACCAGUUAUCGUGCCAACAGUAAACGCUGGGUAGCUAUGUAUGGAGAGGAUAACCGCUGAAAGCAUCUAAGUGGGAAGCCCACCUCAAGAUAAGUAUUCUCA
rnacentral:rRNA from 1 species